GGGGACAUAGCUCAGCUGGGAGAGCGCGGGCUUUGCAAGCCUGAGGUCGUGGGUUCGAUCCCCAUUGUCUCCA
rnacentral:tRNA from 1 species